ACGUUCGGACUGCAGUCUGCAACUCGACUGCACGAAGCUGGAAUCGCUAGUAAUCGCAGAUCAGAAUGCUGCGGUGAAUACGUUCCCGGGUCUUGUACACACCGCCCGUCACACCAUGGGAGUCAGUAACGCCCGAAGUCAGUGACCUAACCGCAAGGGAGGAGCUGCCGAAGGCGGGACCGAUAACUGGGGUGAAGUCGUAACAAGGUAAC
rnacentral:rRNA from 1 species